CGCGGGUGCUGCUACCAGAGGGGAAAUUCUUCCCAGGCAGGGGUAGGCGAACCCCCGUGAAAUCCUCUCCAGCCUUGGAAAGACAAGCCUCCUCCAGCCUGGCACAGCCUCGCUGGCUCUCCAGUCCCUGCACAAGCACUGACGACGAGAGCGAUGCACUUCCCAAGGUUUCUCACUGGGGAGCAUGGAGAAGACUUGGGGGAGAGAAGGAAGACUGUUGCAGAUGAGAUGCAUGACUUCUGAAAGUUCUCAAGAAUUGGGCUGGGCUCAGAAGACUGAGGAGAGCAGAGGAGUGACUACCUUCAAAGAACUGCUGGAAAAUGCCAAGAUGAAGGAUUUCCCCCUUGAUAUAAUAAAAAUAAAUCAGAACACUAAUAACACAUAGAAAGACUAUUGAAACAAACAACAUAACAAAAAGAAAACAAGAAAAUGGAAGGAAUAAAGCCUUUUAAAUAG